rnacentral:rRNA from 1 species
UACAGAGGGUGCGAGCGUUGUCCGGAAUCACUGGGCGUAAAGGGCGCGUAGGCGGCCUGGCAAGUCUGUGGUGAAAGCUCAGGGCUUAACUCUGAGUCGGCCAUCGAUACUGCGAGGCUCGAGUCUGGUAGAGGCAGAUGGAAUUCCGGGUGUAGCGGUGGAAUGCGUAGAGAUCCGGAAGAACACCGGUGGCGAAGGCGGUCUGCUGGGCCAAGACUGACGCUGAGGCGCGACAGCGUGGGGAGCAAACAGG